rnacentral:rRNA from 1 species
UACGUAGGGUGCGAGCGUUUGUCCGGAUUUAUUGGGCGUAAAGAGCUCGUAGGCGGUUUGUCGCGUCGGCCGUGAAAUCUCCACGCUUAACGUGGAGCGUGCGGUCGAUACGGGCAGACUUGAGUUCGGUAGGGGAGACUGGAAUUCCUGGUGUAGCGGUGAAAUGCGCAGAUAUCAGGAGGAACACCGGUGGCGGAAGGCGGGUCUCUGGGGCCGA